AAAAGCCAGAAAAAAAUUGCCCUUUCAGAUUUGAAAACCUUCUGUGGUCCCCCAUCUCUCUUGGAGGAAAACUUCGCCGGAAAAGUUGCCAUAUUCACCGGAAAAUCUCUCUCGCCGGACUCUCUCACUUUUCGCCGGAAAAGUGGUCCCCAUCUCUCUUGGAGGAAAAUUUUGCCGGAAAAGUUGUCAUAUUCACCGGAAAAUCUCUCUCGCCGGACAGCAGUCACUUUUCGCCGGAAAAGUUGUCCAUUUUCGCAGGUAAAUCUCUCCCUUUUCGCCAAAAAAUCUCUCCCUCGCCAGAAAGCCCUCCCUUUGUACAAAAUCUCUUCCUAACCGGAAAUAUUCCCUCGCCGGAAAAGCUCUACUCUCUCUCUCUCUACUAUUUCAAAAAGACAAAAAGCCAAAAAAAAAAAUCGCCCUUUCAGAGUUGAGAACCUUCUGCGGUCCCCCAUCUCUCUUGCCAGAAAAAUUUCGCUGGAAAAGUUGCCAUUUUUACCGGAAAAUCUCUCCAUUUUCCCCGGAAAAAGUCCUCAUUUUUUCAGCUGGACCUCUCGUUCUCGUCGGACUCUCUUUCCCCCAAAAUUCCCCCCCAUUUCCGGCGCCGACCACCGUCCCCCUCCACCAAACGGCCGACAACACCCCCCUUAGACCACUGAUCUCGACCCGCAAUCUCCAUAGAUCGAACCAAUUUCUCAAAUCUCCACCGUCCCGCUCCCCCCGACCAAGCGCCGGCCACCAAACAAGUAAUCUUUUCUCUUUCUGCUGUCCUCAACGUUCAGGGAGAUUCCAAACAGGAGGUUGAAAUUACGGAGAAAAAAGAAAAUGAAUGAACAAAUUAAAUCCCUUUUGGAGCAUGUUCAUGGAUGAAAUUUACUGUGGUUAUUUCCUUCUAAAAGUGGAGGUAAUGAGGAAGUUAUCCUAAACGUAUUGCUACGAAUUCAGUCUUUAUUUGGUUUAUUUGAUGGGCAUGAAGGUGCAAAAGCUGCUGAGUUUGCGGCAGAAAACUUGGAUAAGAACAUAAUAGAUGAAGUGAUGAGAAGGGGUGAUGAGGAAACUGAGGAGGCAGUCAAGCAAGUUCACUAGAAUAAGUACUCUGAUUUUUUGAAAGAAGAUGUACAUAGUGGCUCGUGCUGUGUGACAGAGCUGAUCAGGAAAGGGAACCUUGUUGUAUCUAAUGCUGGUGACUGUCAUGCUGUUAUGAGCAGAGGUGGUGUUGCUGAGGGACAUAUUGGUUGAGGAAAUUUUCAUUCUUUGUACGUCCUGUUCAUAAGUGAUUUUGAUCACAAAUUGGAUGAAGAGAUAUAAUAGUGGUGGUGGUGGAAGGUGAUUUUUUUUAUUAUUUAGAGUAGCCUGAUUAUUUAUUGUAGAUAUUUGACAUAAUUCUGGAGAUUUUUACAAUCAUAGCUAAAGGAGAUUCAAAACA